GUGAGUGUGUGUGUGUGUGUGUGUGAGUGUGUGUGUGAGUGUGUGAGUGUGUGUGUGUGUGUGAGUGUGUGAGUGUGUGUGUGAGUGUGUGUGAGUGUGUGUGAGUGUGUGUGAGUGUGUGUGAGUGUGUGUGUGAGUGUGUGUGAGUGUGUGAGAGUGUGUGUGUGAGUGUGUGUGUGUGUGUGAGUGUGUGUGUGUGUGAGUGUGUGUGUGUGAGUGUGUGUGUGUGAGUGUGUGUGUGUGAGUGUGUGUGUGUGAGUGUGUGUGUGUGAGUGUGUGUGUGUGAGUGUGUGAGUGAGUGUGUGAGUGAGUGUUGUGAGUGAGUGUGUGAGUGAGUGUGUGAGUGAGUGUGUGAGUGAGUGUGAGUGAGUGAGUGUGUGAGUGUGUGUGUGUGUGUGGAGUGUGUGUGUGAGAGUGUGUGUGUGAGAGUGUGUGUGUGAGUGAGUGUGUGAGUGUGUGAGUGAGUGUGUGAGUGAGUGAGUGAGUGAGUGGAGUGAUGUGAGUGAGUGAGUGUGUGAGUGUGAGUGUGUGAGUGUGUGUGUGUGAGUGUGUGUGUGUGAGAGUGUGUGUGUGAGAGUGUGUUAGUGUGUGUGUGAGAGUGUGUGUGUGAGAGUGUGUGUGUGAGAGUGUGUGUGUGUGAGAGUGUGUGUGUGAGAGUGUGUGUGUGAGAGUGUGUGUGUGAGAGUGUGUGUGUGAGAGUGUGUGUGUGAGAGUGUGUGUGUGAGAGUGUGUGUGUGUGAGAGUGUGUGUGUGUGAGUGAGUGUGUGUGUGUGAGUGAGUGUGUGUGUGUGAGUGUGUGUGUGUGAGUGUGUGUGUGUGUGUGAAUGGGUGAACGAGACACCGUGUAAAGCGCUUUGGAAGCGCUAAUGUUAAAAAAGCGCUAUAUACGUGCAGACCAUUUAGUGCUGCAGAAACGGACCCCAUUGUGGUAAACAAAAUGUUUACAGUUAGUUCAUUGUAUAAUUAAAUAAUUUAAUUCAAUUGAAAGUUAUUGAGUGCCAGUAAUAUUUGCCGAAGUAAUAUUUGUGAUCCGUAUGCACCACUGACGAAUGUCUGUUUGCCGUUUUCUGCCGUUAAAUCUCUGACGAAUGAACGGAAGAGUUCUGUGAGUACAUUUUCAGCCCUACGUGACCAAAUAGCAAAUGAACUAAAAGUGUCCUUUGAUUUGGGUUCAAGCAACCGACUAGUCAUUGUUUCUAUAGCAUGUAUAUCCAAGAAAAAAACUAAACUGCAGCUCUCCAUAGAGCGAUUUUGUGGCUGAGGGAAAAGAACGAUGCUUAUUAAAAACCCUGAAAUGGCCUUCAACCAUCAAAACAAAAAAAAAGGUUCACUGAUAAAACCAUUAAUAACUUAAAUCACUUUGAUAAAAUCGAAAAGAAACCAGAGAAACGUCUAAUCGUGCAAGCUUUCUAAAUAAAGGAUUGACAUUUGUAUGUGUCAAACGGCCAUCUUAGGAAUUCUGGAAGUCAUGCUGGACUUACAUCAACAGCACUGCAAUCUGUGCAUCUUUAGAGUACGACAAGGGAGAGUACGGGGUAAAGCGUCUUGCUCUAGUUGUUAUUACAUAGCUUUUAUAGGAAAGGGCUCCGGGGGAAUUUGUAGAGAGAGUGGAAAGGGAAUGGUGCUCAUAACCACGAUAAAAGCUCUCCUGGGGCCGGAGAGACACUUUAAGUCCACUGACCAUCAUGAUCAGACUGAGAUUUCAUGGCAAUGAGUUGUCUUUCAUAAAAAUCCAUGAUGGAAGAAAUUGUUUCCAGUUCUACAGGGAGGCGCUCGGGGUACUCUCAGUCUCUCUGGCUCUUUCCAAUACCCUACAUGAGCAGUUAUCCCCGAGCAUUUUAUUCUAUUAUUUAUUUUAUUUCUUCAGAUUAAUACUUGAUUCCGCUUAAAUACGUAACUGAAUUUUGUCAGCCACUGUUAUUUAUUUAAAUGAGUCAGACGUGUCGGUGAACAAGAGGCAUGUCGGGAGUUCAUGUUGAAUUCGUAUUGCGUGCACAUAUUUCAUUCAGAUCUUACCGCCGCCUCCACUGAAUCGUGCAUUUUUGCAUUAGAGUUAAGCAAACACUUUAAUCGAGCCACUUAAUUAGCCGACGCCGAGCACUAUAAACGAUGCUGUGGUAAAAUGAAGUGAUUGUGAAUGGUUGAAAUGUCAUGUUGAGAGUGCCGUGUUUUGUAAAGUGCCUAAUUCCCGCAGUCUGAGGUUUAUGUGGGAUGAUGCUACAGUGUCCCCUCUGAUUACUAUAAAUCUUUAUCACUUGCCUGCUGGCAAUAGACUGCUCGUGUGAAGAGGGCUACCAGUUUAGGUUCUUGCCAGCCAUAAAAAAAAAAAAAAAAACCCACACCUGGCUAGCAUGAUCUUGGCUGCUUUCAAUAGUUUACAUGCUAUGUUAUAUUUCAAAAUCCCACCACCAUUAUUUUCAAUUAUGACCGUGGACGAUUAUUAUUAAUUGCCUUAAUUCAUUUUGAAGGGAACAAUUGUCAGAGUAUAACCAGCAAAUUAGACCGUCA
ensembl:lncRNA